AUUGAACGCUGGCGGCAGGCCUAACACAUGCAAGUCGAGCGGGAGGCGGACGGGUGAGUAAGGUAUGGGGAUCUGCCCAAUAUAGGGGGAUAACUACUAGAAACGUUGGCUAAUACUGCUUACGAUCGUAUGAGCUCACAUGGGAUUAGCUAGUAGGUGGGGUAAAGGCUCACCUAGGCGACGAUCUCUAGCUGGUCUGAGAGGAUGAUCAGCCACACCGGGACUGAGACACGGCCCAGACUCCUACGGGAGGCAGCAGUGGGGAAUAUUGCACAAUGGGCGCAAGCCUGAUGCAGCCAUGCCGCGUGUAUGAAGAAGGUCUUCGGGUUGUAAAGUACUGUCAGCGGGGAGGCGUUACCCGCACAAGAAGCACCGGCUAACUCCGUGCCAGCAGCCGCGGUAAUAC
rnacentral:rRNA from 1 species